rnacentral:lncRNA from 1 species
UUUUUAGCCAUGGCGACCAUCUUGGUUUGAUGGCCAGGUCAUCGGACACAUUUUUUAAACUAGAUACCCCAAGGAUGAUUGUGGCCAAGUUUGGUUAAAUUUGGCACAAUAGUUUCAGAGAAGAUUUUUGUAAAAGUUUACGGACGACGGACGCAGGACGACGGACGACGAACGACGGACGCCAAGUGAUGAGAAAAGCUCACUUGACCUUUCAGGUCAGGUGAGCUAAAAAAAAACAUUUGAAAUCCACAAGCUUUUGCAUGUAGAAAAAUUCCAAGUUGUCUAAUAAUAAUGGUGACAGCCACAAUAUUCUGUUGCAGUUUUUACCAGACAUAGAAAAUGAUCUCUAAUCAAAAGACUCCAUACACACAAUAAAUGCACAAAAUUUGCAUUUCCUCAUAUUUAGUUCAGUAUAAUAAAACAAUUAUGGUCUUCUUCAUAAGUUAAUAUAAAUGUGAUUAAAUCAUGUAAAUGUUAUUUAACCUACAAUCUCUGGGAAAUUGACGUUUUCUCUGUUUAAUCAUUUUGAAUAUUAAAUUUUAAUGGAUGUCAUAAUUGAUUGAUAAAUCAUGUUAUACUCUAUAAAAUGUCACUUAUAUAAGAAAGAAAACAAGAAUGUGUCCAUAGUACAAGGAUGCCCCAAUCGCACUAUCACUUUCUAUGUUCAGUGGACCGUGAAAUUGUGGUCAAAACUCUAAUUUGGCAUUAAAAUCAGAAAGACCAUAUCAUAAGGAACAUGUAUACUAAGUUUCAAAUUGAAAGAACUUCAACUUCAUCAACAACUACCUUGACCAAAAACUUUAACCUGAAGCGGGACAGAGGGACGGACGAACGGACGCACAUACCAGGAAACAUAAUGCCCAUAAAAGGGGCAUAAUAAAUGGGGCAUAAAAAUCACCAAAAUUACUAAUUGAAAUCAAAAGAAUUAUUUAUCACAAUCAUUGAAGAUGUCAGCAUUCCUCAGCUGUAAUAUCUGCCUUCUCAGGCCCAGUGUGCUGUUCCAAGACCAUUCGAAUACAUGUAGUCAUCAAAGGUACCAGGAUUAUAAUUUAGUACGCCAGACGCGCGUUUCGUCUACAUAAGACUCAUCAGUGACGCUCAAAUCAAAAUAUUUAUAAAACCAAACAAGUACAAAGUUGA